rnacentral:miRNA from 1 species
AGGCCUUAAGGCCUGAUUCCACGAGGCGGAAUUUUUCGACCGAUACGAAAUUUCUCUUUGUCUUUUUACAAUUAGUUCUGCUUGAGAGCUCAUAAAACAAAGAGAAAUUUCGAUUCGGUCGAAAAAUUUUGCCUAGUGGAAAACCGCCUUAAAGAACA